rnacentral:lncRNA from 1 species
AAGUCGCGCCUGGAAGAAUUGCUGUACGCUGCUACACAAGCUUCAACAAUAAUGAACAAAUCAAGAGAGACCACCACAUGGUGACAGCGAUCAUACUCCUCCACUGCAUCGUCACUAGGCACCGCUGCGUCGACAUACUUGAGUUAAGACUUCAGCCACGGGAACAACGCAACCUCGAUUCACUGAUGUGCAACACCAUGAAGCGGAUCUCUUCGCUCAGCUGCUUUUACCUGAGUGAUUCAGAUUUAACUAAUACAGCGAUCACGGUUGCGGUGUUC